rnacentral:ribozyme from 1 species
AGCGCCCCGCUCUCCCUCAGACAGACGCGAGAGAGACAACCAAACAAACCCAAGAAGAGGACGCUCCAUACA